CUCCCAUCCUGGUAGCACCGUAGCAGCAACGCAAGUCUUGUCUCCUCCUCAAUCGUCCUGCCUCGUUUACGAAACCCUAGCGUCAACUCACCGAUUUCUCAGUUCUGACAAGGCCGACCCAAUUUCCAAGAAUGGCAGAGGGAGAUGAGGACUUGCCAAGAGAUGCAAAGAUUGUCAAAUCACUUCUGAAAUCAAUGGGUGUGGAUGACUACGAACCUCGUGUUAUACACCAGUUUCUAGAGCUAUGGUAUCGUUACGUUGUUGAUGUGUUGACAGAUGCACAGGU
rnacentral:misc_RNA from 1 species